rnacentral:rRNA from 1 species
GAUGAACGCUGGCGGCGUGCCUAAUACAUGCAAGUCGAACGCAUAGCGAAAGGUGCUUGCACCUUUCAAGUGAGUGGCGAACGGGUGAGUAACACGUGGACAACCUGCCUCAAGGCUGGGGAUAACAUUUGGAAACAGAUGCUAAUACCGAAUAAAACUUAGUGUCGCAUGACACAAAGUUAAAAGGCGCUUCGGCGUCACCUAGAGAUGGAUCCGCGGUGCAUUAGUUAGUUGGUGGGGUAAAGGCCUACCAAGACAAUGAUGCAUAGCCGAGUUGAGAGACUGAUCGGCCACAUUGGGACUGAGACACGGCCCAAACUCCUACGGGAGGCUGCAGUAGGGAAUCUUCCACAAUGGGCGAAAGCCUGAUGGAGCAACGCCGCGUGUGUGAUGAAGGCUUUCGGGUCGUAAAGCACUGUUGUAUGGGAAGAACAGCUAGAAUAGGAAAUGAUCUUAGUUUGACGGUACCAUACCAGAAAGGGACGGCUAAAUACGUG